UAGUUAAAUCUGUUAGAGGAAGUGAGGGAGAACAAACCCAGGUUGCCGCACCUGAAGCCAGCUAACCCUCAGACAUGUAAGCAAGCACAGCUAAAAUCAGUAGAGCUGCCUAGCCAAACCCCAACUCAUCCCAGACACAUGAGCAAUAAACUUGUAUGCCCCUGAGGAUUUGUGGUUGAUACAGAGCAUUGUUGUGACAUUAGACAGUUAAUAUUGUGACAUACGAACACUGAAUUAACAAUUUUUGUGGCUGGGCAUUUCUAGGUUUUUUCUUUUUCUUUUUUCCCAUAAAAAUUUGUUUCAUUUCUCAUUAUUUUCUGAGAAUAUAUAUGUAAGGAUGAAUUUACUGUGUCAAAGAGCAUAUAAGAAUCUCAGUACAUAGAAAAAUCCUUUUUAGAAAGGUCGUACCUACCAUGUAAUGCAGUUUAUGAGAUUGCCUCUUUUACAGUCUUACUGUUCUUGAUGUUUGGUAUGUUUUCUCUUUUAAUGUUUUCUAGGCUCACUUUAGGUGAAGCCCAGUCUGUAGUGAUCUGUUAGAUGAACUUCUGUAGCAGUUACAAUCUGUUCUUCCCCACCCAAAUCUCAUGUUGAAUUGUAAUUCCUGAUGUUGGGGAAGGGACAUGGAGGGAGGUGAUUGGAUCAUGGGGGAAUGGUUUCCCCUAUGCUGUGUGCAUUGAGAGACCCAAGCAAGUAUCAGGCUUUUCAUCCGUGGAACACAUGCUCCAGAACCUUCUAGCUGUUCACUUGUGAUGGAUACUCUGUUAGCCUUCACUAUUGAAUGCACUUUUAAAAAUGAUCAAAACCAACAUUUCCCACAGUUUUUUUUUUUUUUUUUUUUUUUUUUGAGAACGGAGCCUCGCUCUGUUGCCCAGGCUGGAGUGCAGUGGUGGUAUCUCAGCUCACCACAACCUCCACCUCUCAGGUUCAAGCGAUUCUCAUGCCUCAGCCUCCUGAGUAGCUGGAACUACAGGCACGUGCCACCACACUUGGCUACUUUGGGUAUUUUUAGUAGAGAUGGGGUUUUGCCCUGUUGCCCAGGCUGGUCUGGAACUCCUGGCCUCAAGUGAUUCGCACAAAGUGCUGGGAUUACAUGUGCGAAAAACCACACCCAGCUGGUUCCAGGCCCUCUCUAAGGCACCAGACUUUUCCAUCUGCAUUCUGACUCACAUAGUCAGACUUAAAUCCCCAGGGCCCACCAAGAAUAGCCCAGAACUCCUUGAGGGAGCCCUAGAACUGACCAGUGUUCUGAGGCAUCUUCCAGGCUGAGCUACAUGAGCCAUUAGCAGACCUUGGGUGAGAGCUAAAAUUAUCAUAAGCCAUGUGCUCCCCACUUAUGUCCCGGGGUUCCUCUCGGGCAUCUCCGGUGUGUUGUGGAGCAUCUGUGAUAGAGGACUGUUGUCAGCAAUCAGCUCUGUCUGCCAGAGGGGCACCAGCAGCUCUUUUCUGUUAACACGUUUAUUGAGUAUCUAUUCUGUCAUGCUCUGUUCUAGCUGUUGGGAAUAGAGCAGUGUAUAAUACGGAAACCUGCCCUCGUUUAGGGGAGACAGAUAAAUAGAAAACAAAGGAAAGAAAGUAACUGGUGAUUUGAGCAUGAGAAGUACUGUGGAGAAAAAUCAGGGAAGGGCAUGUAGGCUGCUUGUUUGGGAAAGCAAGUAGGAAAAACAUUUCAGUUUUGAAUAUUGUUGUAUGGAAAGGCAUUGCUGAGAAAAUGACAUUAGAGCUGUCAACCUAAAUAACAGAGAGGCUUUCUAAGAGAAAAUGGUAUUUAUUUGGGAAGAGAGCAUUGCAAUGGGAAUAUAACUGCCAUGGUAAACUAUGUGUGCAUUCAGGAGAUAAAGGCAGACAUGGGUUUUUUAAGGGAAAAAUGAGGAGGGUUACAUAAUUUUUUUUGCUUGUUUUUUGAGACAGAGUCUCACUCUUUUGCCCAGGCUGAAGUGCAAUGGCCCAAUCUAUAAAGUAGUUAUAACUACCUUAUAUCCUUUUAGAAAUGGGGAGUGAUGGAUGAAUACAAUGUCUUGCCUGUUAUUUUUAUUAUUUGACAUUCUUUAAUUUUGAAAAGACACACUGGACUUGAUUAAGAUCUGGCUCUUCAUUGUCUCCAGUCAAAUGUCCUGUGGCGACUCUCUGUGGUACUGACCCUUCACAUCUUGGUUUGAUAUGGCUUACUUUGUGCAGAGAGAGGGUACAGUGGAGGGAGUGUAUGGCGGUGGACUCCCAGGUGCAGGCUGUAUAAACUUUGGUCAAGUCUGAAGCUUCUACAUUGCAGAGUGUAGUAGCCAGUGUGGAUUCUGGAGUCAUCUGGAGUCAUUGUCUGCAUUUGGAUGCUGGCUUUAUCACUUAGCUCUGUACCCUUUCUUGCAAAAGGAACUCAGAUAAAACAAAUGUAACUUUCUGAAGUUUUAAGACCAGAAAGGUCAAUUUCUAUGUUUAUUCAAAAGAAACUUAACCUCUCUAUGCCUCAGAUACUCCAUCUGUAAAAUGAGAAUAACACUGGUAGCUAACUCAUAGGACAGUUGGGGGAUUACAUUAGAACAUCUAUGCAAAACAAAAGCACAAGGCCCAGAACCAUAGUAAACACUAACUAAAGCCUCAGUUCUUUCUUGGUAUGAUCUGUGAAACCUUCAAAAUGUCUGUGCUACUGGCCUUUCACUAUGCUUUGUACUUCAGGCAUUGGCUUCAGGAAGGCUCUGUUAAAAGAGAACCAUCCUCCAUGAGACAAGACCUGUCCUUUCCAUGGGAGAGGCAGUCAUUGACAAGUGUCCUCCAACACAUUUUCCCAGUUUAUCAUAUUGGCACUGAAGGAACACUCAGGUAAGUAUUAAUUGCCUUGAGAUUAAAAAAGGAAUUCAGCCAUUAACCACUCUUAACAUUUUGUUGUAUUCACUGCCCAUUUUAUAUAACCACUUAAAACUGGAAUCAUAUCGUGUAAAGAUUUUUUGUCACUUGUUUUCUUUACUUCGUGUUUAUAUUAUCUUUACAUCUUCUUACUAAUAAAAAAAACUUGCUUUCACAGUUGCAUUGGAUUCCAUAUGUGGAGUUACUAUUAUUUAUUACCAAUUUGGUAUAUGGGACAGUUAGUUUUAUUUUCCUGUUGUAAGUAAUGCUAUAGUAAAC
rnacentral:lncRNA from 1 species